GGUCAAAAUGAAGGACGCUGCAUAAUAUGUUUUUCCAUGCCGUUGCAUCGAAUGAAAUGCCACGAUCAACAAUUUCGCUCUCCUUUGAACUAGUAAAGUCUGUGAAGGGUAAUAGUGCUAAAUCCAAUGGUGCUAUUUGAAGAUGCUGGGGGAGAAAAUGAGACUUGCCUAAACUGGAACCUUCAUGAAACAAAAAAAACCAUUGUAAGCUGAUUUGCAUUAUUGGGACAAAUAUAUACAACUUGAAAUGGAGGAAGUUUCAAUAUUACAAAAUGAUGUUGUUGACAAGGACUCCUCCCAUUGGUCUUAUAGCACACUAAGUCAAGAAAUAACCAUGUACAUCAAAGCUGAACCUGAGGAAAAUCCAACAAGUAACAAAAAAAGUGAGAUAAAAGAUUCUUCAAAUGUAGAAAAGGAACCAAAAUUAAAUGUAGACAUCAAUUUAAAACAAGUUGUUGAAAUUGAUUCACUAGCUGAAAAAGAAAUGCAAAAUUGUUCUUUGUGCAAGGAAAAAAUUCCUAAAGAAGAGGUUAACUUUCAUAUGAAAAAACACACAAAGGAUUUCUCAUGUGACAUAUGUAGCAAACACUUUAAAACAUUUCAGGGAUUGAAAAAUCACUAUGCAACCCAUACUGGUGUAAGGAAAUAUGAGUGUGAUUCAUGUGAUAAAAAAUUCAUUGAUUUGGCAACCCUUAAAGAACACACUAAUAUACAUACUGGUGAUAAACCAUACAUGUGUGAUAUAUGUGGUAAAGCUUUCAAUCACCACAGCUCUCUUGGAAAGCAUCGAUAUACACAUAGUGAUAAAAAACCUCAUAUUUGUGAUGUAUGUGGACGUGGAUUUAAACGUAAGGAUAUCCUGAAGGAGCAUACUAAGGUACAUACUGGUGAGGGAACAAGGAAGUAUAAAACAAUAAAGGAAUAUAGAUGUCUGGUUUGUAAUAAAGUGUGUGGAAAAAAUUCUCACCUCACCAUACAUAUGAGGGUUCAUACUGGUGAGAAACCCUUCAAAUGUGAACUCUGUGACAGAAGAUUUUCUGCAAACGAAGAUAAAAAAAAGCAUAUGAAAGUUCAUAAAGAUUAACAUGAUUU